CAGUUUUGAAUCCCCCCUCCCAGUGCCUGCCACUACUCUGGUGCCUGGCUGUGGUGCUGCUGCAGCCACGGGCUUCAGCCUCCCCUCACAUGGUGGCAGCAUUAUAAUGGGCUGGGGAGCCAAGUGGUCACUUAGAUCUUGGCUCCGUUAUAGCCCUGCCCUCAGGUACAAACCCUGUAUUCUGUUUAAGUGUUCCUUUGUACAGCAGAGCAAUGUCUACACUCUGUCCUCCAUCCAGGGGAGCAAGAGGCAUGAUGAGAGUUCAAGGGCACCUGUCAGCCAGGCUUCUGUUUCUCAACAAAUGUGGGGCAGAUGAGGCAAUGAACCUCAGAUUUUUCACCUUUCUCCUGCCAGAGCAUACCCAUCCAUCAUGGUCAUCACUAUUUUCUGAACCUUGCUUAGGAGAAUAGGAUAGGAACAGACUUUGCAACAGGACACCUCACUAAC